rfam:Geobacter sp. M18, complete genome.
UAACGAUACUACUAAACCAUCCGCGAGGAUGGGGCGGAAAGCCCAUCGGGUCUCACGCAGACAGCCGGGUUGCCGAA